GUGGCCUAGUGGUUAGAGCAUCCGCCUCGGAUGCGGGAGAUAGUGGGUUCAAUCCCCGGCUAAGUCA